rnacentral:rRNA from 1 species
AUUGAACGCUGGCGGAAUGCUUUACACAUGCAGGUCGAACGGCAGCACGGAGCUUGCUCUGGUGGCGAGUGGCGAACGGGUGAGUAAUGCGUCGGAACGUAUCCAAUAAUGGGGGAUAACGCAGCGAAAGCUGUGCUAAUACCGCAUACGCCCUGAGGGGGAAAGCAGGGGAUCUUCGGACCUUGCGUUAGUGGAGCGGCCGACGUCUGAUUAGCUAGUUGGUAGGGUAAAGGCCUACCAAGGCGACGAUCAGUAGCUGGUCUGAGAGGAUGAUCAGCCACACUGGAACUGAGACACGGUCCAGACUCCUACGGGAGGCAGCAGUGGGGAAUUUUGGACAAUGGGGGAAACCCUGAUCCAGCCAUUCCGCGUGAGUGAAGAAGGCCUUCGGGUUGUAAAGCUCUUUCAGGAGGGAAGAAACGAUUAUGGUUAAUAACCAUGAUUAAUGACGGUACCUUCAGAAGAAGCACCGGCUAACUACGUGCCAGCAGCCGCGGUAAUACGUAGGGUGCGAGCGUUAAUCGGAAUUACUGGGCGUAAAGCGUGCGCAGGCGGUUUAUCAAGUCUGAUGUGAAAGCCCCGGGCUUAACCUGGGAACUGCGUUGGAAACUGAUAAACUAGAGUACGGCAGAGGGGGGUAGAAUUCCACGUGUAGCAGUGAAAUGCGUAGAUAUGUGGAGGAAUACCGAUGGCGAAGGCAGCCCCCUGGGUCGAUACUGACGCUCAUGCACGAAAGCGUGGGUAGCAAACAGGAUUAGAUACCCUGGUAG